rnacentral:rRNA from 1 species
UACGUAGGGACCGAGCGUUGUCCGGAUUCAUUGGGCGUAAAGAGCUCGUAGGCGGCUGUUCAAGUCGAACGUGAAAACUCGGAGCUCAACUCCGAGCCUGCGUUCGAUACUGGACGGCUAGAGUCUGGUAGGGGGAUCUGGAAUUCCUGGUGUAGCGGUGGAAUGCGCAGAUAUCAGGAAGAACACCGGUGGCGAAGGCGCUCUGCUAGGCCGUAACUGACACUGAGGGACGAAAGCUAGGGGAGCGAAUGGG